UACGUAGGUGGCAAGCGUUGUCCGGAAUUAUUGGGCGUAAAGAGCGUGUAGGCGGCCAGGUAGGUCCGCUGUGAAAACUCGAGGCUCAACCUCGAGAUGUCGGCGGAAACCAUCUGGCUAGAGUCCGGAAGAGGAAAGUGGAAUUCCCGGUGUAGCGGUGAAAUGCGCAGAUAUCGGGAAGAACACCCGUGGCGAAGGCGGCUUUCUGGGACGGUACUGACGCUGAGACGCGAAAGCGUGGGGAGCGAACAGG
rnacentral:rRNA from 1 species